rnacentral:rRNA from 1 species
CCCUUAGAUGUUCUGGGCUGCACGCGUGCUACAAUGGCGUUUCCAGCAAGUCUGCGAACCCGAGAGGGCCAGCGGAUCUUCGAAUUGGCGUCGUGAUCGGGACAGUCGAUUGCAAUUAUUUGACUCAAACGAGGAAUUCCUUGUAAUCGCGAUUCAUCAUAUCGCGCUGAAUGCGUCCCUGCCCUUUGUACACACCGCCCGUCGCUCCUACCGAUUGAGCGAUCCGGUAAAUGUUUUGGAUUGGUGCCGGGGCGGCUAGCUGCCGGUCGCUACGAAAUUUUGUGAACCUUAUCGCUUAGAGGAAGGAAAAGUCGUAACA